ensembl:lncRNA
AACGCUAGAAGUUGUCAUUAGUUAAAAAAAAAAAAAAAAAAAGUUGACGUUAACAAUUCGCUGAAUCUGACAAAAAGUGUAUGGGAUAAGAACCGCUGACUGUACCAUUUUACAUUUACAUUUAGUCAUUUAGCAGACGCUUUUAUCCAAAGCGACUUACAAGGAUGUAUACACAUUUUUACAUUUUACACUGAUGGCACACUGCACAUCAGGAGCAAUUAGGGGUUCAGGGUCUUGCUCAAGGACGCUUCGACAGGGAAUCGAACUAGCAACCUUCUGAUUACUAACCGACUGCUCUACCUCCUGUACAACUGCCGUACCAUUUAAUAGCUUGUAGGUUUGUGCAGCCUGCAUUCCAAUAACAUGCCGCUGUGAGCCCACAAUUCCCCUCAUACCCGGUCGGGUCCCCUUAGGUCCACUCAGGCCUGUGUAGAGCUUGAGCGAGAUGGUGUUUUUCUCAGGCCCGCUGUUGCAGUUAAUACCUUAAACAAGUAGCGAUAAGGAACACUGACAUAAACAUGUACAGAUGAAGACAUGUAAACACAAGAUUUGUUUUUGGUUGUGUUAGACGCAUUCUUUAUUUGUUAGUCAAAAGCACAAAAGGCCGCUAUACAGUACAUCUGCACAGAGAAGAUGGAAAACAUUGCCUCUUAAAAGUGUCAUUUUGAAAGAACUGGUCUUUUCUUUUUUUUUUUUUUUUUAAAGAACUACUCAAACUUACUCAACAAGACUGGAUAUUUGACAGUGACACAAGUAGUAACUGACAUAGCAAUAAACAAUCAUGAUAUUUCUCACAUUACAAGUUCAUUGACAAUACAGCUACAGCUCUUAUGUGUUUAGUACGUGAAGUGUGAAAGCACACAGACACACUCACAAACAAACAAACAAACAAACAAACAAAAAAAAAACCAAAUACACACUCUGUAAUGCAACGAUAGGUGAAUCUGACCUGUUUUACUGAAAACCCACAGAUAUCAGUGCUGGAAGGUCUGAAGAGAUUUUGCAACAGUGAUCGUAUUUCUACAUGGCUUAAUGCAAAUGGUAUUCAGCUGCUUUUUCUGAGUUUGGUGACAGCUUUGGCUACAUGCGAAAUAACAGGAACAAAAGACAAGCAGGUUUAGCGGCUCUACAAAGGUGGUGCUCCUAUGACCCAGGCUUUUCCCCCUGACAGCAUUGGAGUCCAGAAUGGACCAGGCAUCAGGUCCAGAAACACGGGCUCAGUUAAGACCGCCAUUUUACCAAUCUCCCUCUCUCCCCCGCUGAUCAUUGCCUUUACCAUCCCAGGUUAUGUUGGGCAUGGUUUUCGGUGGUUCUCAAGGUUCUUGGGUUCUCGACAACUGUCGGUACCUAGAGCAGCUGGAGAGGGCUGAUCUGGACCAGGCUCAUGCGGGACUCGGCCUGUUAUUCGGGUCGGAUGGGCCAAUCAGGAGGCACCACUAGGCAGUGGUUGAGCUGAAAUGCCGGGAAAGCUUGUGGCCCCCUCAUGACUUACAGUGUUGGUUCUGGUCACUUCCUUUUGUUGUGCUUGGUCUGGAAAUGGUGGCUGUUCGAUUGUCAUGUGUAAGGUGCAUACACUACUUGUCACCCGUGCACACUCAUAAAUACACACACACACACACACACAUACACACCCAUAGCUAAAGCACCCACACUCACACAACUUAAAUAUAAUAUACCUACAUAUCUGUAUACCAUGUAAUAUUUAUCUCAGUACAUAUUUAUCUCAGUGAGUUUUAUAUUUCAUAUAUAAUCUACAAGAUGAAAACAAGGAACAACUGUUUUAAACAAUAACAGCUCUAAUAGACGACGAGGCUUUGGACAACUAAAGAGGCAGAAGACACACCACUCGCCUCCAGGGGGCAGUAUGGGACCAGGACGAGGUUGAGGAGGAGUUGAGUGGAGGGCUUUAAGAGGGUGGGGGUGUGGGUGGGGGGGCAGGAUGCAGAAGGCAAACCUGCUAAAAGUGGCACUCCCUAAGACGACGCAGUGGAGGGGGUCGACGGCGCUAACAGGGCACAGAUGAAGAUGAGAGAUGAGAAGAAGACAGGCACAGACACUGACACAUGAUCCAAACCCUAGAGGUCUAACAGUAUGUACAUGAUCCAAACCCUAGAGGUCUAACAGUAUGUACAAAAACCCCACAGGGCAGCUGCUGUCACAAACGGGUCUGGCCCAGAGCCGUGUGGGAGUCAGCUGCCCUCAGAGAACACCCAACUCCCAAUUCAGUUCAGUUUAUUUUGGUUCAUUUAGAGAUGAUUGGAGAACACCCGACUCCCAAUUCAGUUCAGUUUAAUUUGGUUCAUUUAGAGAUGAUUGGAGAACACCCGACUCCCAAUUCAGUUCAGUUUAAUUUGGCUCAUUUAGAGAUGAUUGGAGAACACCCAACUCCCAAUUCAGUUCAGUUUAAUUUGGCUCAUUUAGAGAUGAUUGGAGAACACCCAACUCCCAAUUCAGUUCAGUUUAAUUUGGUUCAUUUAGAGAUGAUUGGAGAACACCCUACUGCCAAUUCAGUUCAGUUUAAUUUGGUUAAUUUAUAGAGCGCCGAUAACAAUAGGCGUUGUCUCAAAGUGCUUUACAGAGCCAAAGGCCUGACCUCCCCAAGACCCGACCCACCCUAACCCCCCCCUACCCCACCCCACCCUCAAUGACUAACUGAUUUUCGUCUUCUUCUUCUGUGAAGGACUUGAUUGUGUUUGAUUUUUAGAAGUAUCAUCAUCGUCUUCAGUGGUUCUGAGUGGUUCUGUGGCCAGCAGGUCCGGAUGAUGAGUCUGAAAGAUUGGGUAUAAACACACACACACACACACUCACACACACACAC